CUAGGGUAGGGGACCAUGUCAUUUUGUGCACAGGGAAGUACACCAGUAUACACAUUUAAUUCAAUAUGUUUAUUGUAACCUGUCCUUCCUCUCUUAAGUAAAUAUGACCAAGAGGCCUGACUUCAUUGAGUGGGAAGCACUAGAGUUAAGGGUUGCAUACCAAAGCUCAGGCUCUUUCCUAUAUGGACCAUUUGGAGGGACUUGAUCCUUGGGAUUUUGUCUUUUGGUUCUGCUCUGAGUCAGGAAUCCUAGAGAGAUAGCCAAAAGGGUUGCCCAAGGAAGCUCCAUGUGGACUCUCACUCCAUUGUCUAUUUCCCUUUAGUAGGGAGGGCCUGGAUUUUUCAAUCUUCUUUUCAUGAGAAAUGAAGGUCUUUCCCCUUUUUUCAAGGAUGCCAACAGGGCAUCACUGAAGAUGCUAAAUAUAAAAAUGAUAAUACAUGAUUCCUGCACGAGAAGCUGACCAGCAAGACAACAGUCUGUGAUAAGUAGCACCAGUGGCAAAAUUGAUGCUCCUAGGAGGAAGAGAUCAUUUUUUAUUGGUAGGAUUGUGUAGAGAAGGCCUCUUGGCAGUGGUGCCUUGGGUAGGUUUUGAGUGAAUUAGAGAAUUUCAGUGAAUAGUGAGAAGCAAAGAGGGCAUCUUAAAAGGCUCAUGAUGGAAUAGACACAGCUUAUUAGGUAAUAGUGGGACACAAGUUUGACAAGCUUAGGAGAUCUGUACCAAGGAGAUAAGUUUGGGGCCAGGUUACGGGGGCUUUGAAUACUAGAGUGAAGUAACUGGGCUAAAGGCUGUGGGGGAAUUUCUGAAAGCUUCUGAGUAGCGAAAACACAUGAUCCAGUGUGGUUAGUAGCAGGGUUAGCUGUUAGUUGGUGAAGAAAGAAAUCCGGAUUGGGAUCCAAGAUUGCAGGCCACUACACUUAACCAGAGGAUAAGUUACAUGACCAGCACACGCAUGGAAAGUCAAUGGUCUUCUCUCCUUAUGAAUUCCAGUGAUGUGCCCUCGUUCUUCGACCUCUGAAAUGAAGAGCCACUCAGAGUCACAGAAAAGUAUAGCACCCUUCAAAGUUUGCGACUUGUUUUAUAUAAGAAUAAUCAUGUCAAGGUGAACGAAGGAAGUAAGUACUAGAUGUCAUUAUGGGUAUGAUGGCAUGGAGUGGAUAAAUGCAAAUCAAGGGACCAUGGAUGAUCAUAUAAAAAGGUAUAUUUUGAUUAGAUCCCAUUUGUUUAUUUUUGUUUUUAUUUCUGUUGCCUUUGGAGACUGACCUA
rnacentral:lncRNA from 1 species